UACAUGGGGUGCAAACGUUGCUCGGAAUCAUUGGGCGUAAAGGGCGUGUAGGCGGUUUGUUAAGUCAUGUGUGAAAUCCCUCGGCUCAACCGGGGAACGACGCAUGAAACUGGCAAGCUAGAGUACCAAAGAGGGGGGUGGAAUUCCCGGUGUAGCGGUGAAAUGCGUAGAUAUCUGGAGGAACACCGGUGGCGAAGGCGGCAUCCUGGACCAACACUGACGCUGAGGAGCGAAAGCCAGGGGAGCAAACGGG
rnacentral:rRNA from 1 species